rnacentral:rRNA from 3 species
CCCGAAGCCGGUGGCCUAACCCCUUGUGGGAGGGAGCCGUCGAAGGUGGGAUCGGCGAUUGGGACGAAGUCGUAACAAGGUAGCCGUACCGGAAGGUGCGGCUGGAUCACCUCCUUU